rnacentral:rRNA from 1 species
GCAGAGAUUUUACCUCGUACCUUUUGCAUCAUGAUUUAGCUAGUAUUACCCAAGCAAAGAGCACUUUAGUUUGGACCCCCGAAACUACGUGAGCUACUCCAAGACAGCCUAUCUAUAGGGCAAACCCGUCUCUGUGGCAAAAGAGUGGGAAGAGCUUUGAGUAGAGGUGAUAGACCUACCGAACCUAGUUAUAGCUGGUUACCUGAGAAACGAAUAGAAGUUCAGCCUCCCGAUUUCUCCCUAAACCGAGAGAGUUAAUCAAAGGGGGUACAGCCCCUUUGAGACUAGAUACAACUUUACUUGGAGGGUAAAGAUCAUAAUAAUUUAAGGUAAUAAUGCCUUGGUGGGCCUAAGAGCAGCCAUCCAAAUAGAAAGCGUUAAAGCUCAAACAUUAUAUUCAGAUAAACAAAUCCAAACCCCCCCCCCCCCCCUAUCAGGUUAUCUCAUGCAAACAUGAGAGAACACAUGCUAAUAUGAGUAAUAAGAGAGGCCUCUCUCCUUGCACACGUGUAAAUCGGAACGAACCCCCACCGAAACUUAACGACCCCAAACGAAGAGGGUAAUGAACAACAACAGGAAAAUCAUCCACCGUUAACCCCACACUGGUGUGCCCUUAAGGAAAGACUAAAAGAAAAAGAAGGAAUUCGGCAAACAAGCCUCGCCUGUUUACCAAAAACAUCGCCUCUUGCAAGAAUAAGAGGUCCAGCCUGCCCUGUGACUAUAUGUUUAACGGCCGCGGUAUUUUAACCGUGCGAAGGUAGCGCAAUCACUUGUCUUUUAAAUGGAGACCUGUAUGAAUGGCAUAACGAGGGCUUAACUGUCUCCUUUUUCAAGUCAAUGAAAUUGAUCUCUCCGUGCAGAAGCGGGGAUGAAACCAUAAGACGAGAAGACCCUAUGGAGCUUUAGACACUAAAGCAUAUCAUGCUAAGCAACCCAAACCAAAGGACUAAGCUGAAUGAACCAUGCCCGUAUGUCUUUGGUUGGGGCGACCGCGGGGAAAUAAAAAACCCCCAUGUGGAACGGGAACACUCCUAUAAUCAAGAGCUACAGCUCUCAUAAUCAGAAUUUCUGACCUAAAGAUCCGGCAACGCCGAUCAACGGACCAAGUUACCCUAGGGAUAACAGCGCAAUCCCCUUUUAGAGCCCAUAUCGACAAGGGGGUUUACGACCUCGAUGUUGGAUCAGGACAUCCUAAUGGUGCAG